CAGCUGACGAGUCCCAAAUAGGACGAAACGCGCGUCCUGGAU
rfam:Schistosoma rodhaini strain Burundi genome assembly, scaffold: SROB_contig0003585